rnacentral:rRNA from 1 species
AGGAGGCAGCAGUGAGGAAUAUUGGGCAAUGGGCGAAAGCCUGACCCAGCAACGCCGCGUGCACGAUGAAGGUCUUCGGAUCGUAAAGUGCUUUUCUGAAGAAUGAGUAAGGACAGUACUUCAGGAAUAAGCCUCGGCUAACUACGUGCCAGCAGCCGCGGUAAAACGUAGGAGGCGAGCGUUAUCCGGAUUUACUGGGCGUAAAGCGUGUGCAGGUGGUUCGGCAAGUUGGAUGUGAAAGCUCCUGGCUUAACUAGGAGAGGUCGUUCAAUACUACCGAACUUGAAGGCAUCAGAGGAAGAUGGAAUUCCCGGUGUAGUGGUGAAAUGCUUAGAUAUCGGGAGGAACACCAGUGGCGAAGGCGGUCUUCUGGGAUGUUCUUGACACUCAUACACGAAAGCUAGGGUAGCGAACGGGAUUAGAAACCCUGGUAGUCCG